UCAUCAGUUAGGGUGAUCCUUACCUGCGCCCUUCGGGGCACAGUGAGGAACAUGAUGAACGGUAUGGUAUGAUCCUCAUGAGUUAUAUCACUGGGGCAUGGGGAUAGCAACACCUCAUGUACCUACCUCUGAA